GAUGAACGCUGGCGGCGUGCCUAAUACAUGCAAGUCGAGCGAACAGACGAGGAGCUUGCUCCUCUGACGUUAGCGGCGGACGGGUGAGUAACACGUGGAUAACCUACCUAUAAGACUGGGAUAACUUCGGGAAACCGGAGCUAAUACCGGAUAAUAUAUUGAACCGCAUGGUUCAAUAGUGAAAGACGGUUUUGCUGUCACUUAUAGAUGGAUCCGCGCCGCAUUAGCUAGUUGGUAAGGUAACGGCUUACCAAGGCAACGAUGCGUAGCCGACCUGAGAGGGGACCCGGCCCACCUGGAAAUGGAAAAGGGCCCGAAACCCCAGGGGAGGCAGGCGUAGGGAAUUUCCCGAAAGGGGCGAAAGCCUGACGGAGCAACCGCGGGGGAGUGAUGAAGGUUUUCGAUUCGUAAAACUCUUUUAUUAGGGAAAAAAAAAUGUGAAAGUAAAUAUGCCCGUUUUGACGGUACCAAUAAAGAAAGCCCCGGCUAACUACGU
rnacentral:rRNA from 1 species